AUAACAACAUCUAAUGUCUGCUAAAUGUAGAAAUAAGGUCAACUCACUUCAAGAGAUUGACAAACAUGGUUAAGGAAGUAUCUCAAGGAAGUGGAGCCUCAGCUUGUACAGGUAUAUGGAAUCCCCAAUCCUGAAAUACUUGUGUGUGAAGACAAAAUGGGAGAGUGUAUUGGAAACAGAAGAAGUUUUCUUAUUGGCAAUGAACUUUAUGGCUCGUGAUCAGUCUUCAUGGGAGAUGUUGGUACACAAAAACGUGACACCCAGAUGCACUACUGAUUCACAGCAUUUAGACAACUGCUCAAGAAAUAAGCAAUAUUUACUGUGCCAUAGGAAAUGAUAAUAUUUAAAUAAUUAUGUUAGCUAAAUUCUAGUGAGGAGAAACUAGAGAAUUGUCUUUAAUUGGGACUAUGCAUUUUAGAAUAGUUUGAAACUAAUGAUUUUCUAGAUGCCUGUGGGGAAUCAUAUUUUUAAUCAGA